rnacentral:rRNA from 1 species
UACGGGGGGUGCGAGCGUUGUCCGGAAUCACUGGGCGUAAAGGGCGCGUAGGUGGUUUGAUAAGGGUGUGGUGAAAGUCCGGGGCUCAACCCCGGAUCUGCCGUGCCGACUGUCAAACUCGAGGGCUGUAGAGGCAGGCGGAAUUCCGGGUGUAGCGGUGGAAUGCGUAGAGAUCCGGAGGAACACCGGUGGCGAAGGCGGGUCUCUGGGCAGUAACUGACGCUGAGGAGCGAAAGCGUGGGGAGCGAACAGG